CCUACGAGGCGCUGCAGUGGGGGAUAUUGCACAAUGGGGGGAACUCUGAUGCAGCGACGCCGCGUGGGUGAAGAAGCGCCUCGGCGCGUAAAGCCCUGUCAGCAGGGAAGAAAAUGACGGUACCUGAAGAAGAAGCCCCGGCUAAAUACGUGCCAGCAGCCGCGGUAAUACGUAGGGGGCAAGCGUUAUCCGGAUUUACUGGGUGUAAAGGGGGCGCAGGUGGCAGUGCAAGCCAGGAGUGAAAGCCCAUGGCCCAACCCCGGGAAUGCUCUGGGAACUGCGUGGCUAGAGUGCAGGAGGGGCAGGGGGAAUUCCUAGUGUAGCGGUGAAAUGCGUAGAUAUCAGGAGGAACACCAGUGGCGAAGGCGGCCUGCUGGACUGCAACUGACAUUGAGGCCCGAAAGCGUGGGGAGCAAACAGGAUUAGAUACCCCAGUAGUC
rnacentral:rRNA from 1 species